AAAAGUUAAUCAUGAAUAAAUGAAUUUCCCUUUGGGGGAGGAUCACUAAUAGAAUUUAGAAAACAAAACAGGCCACCGCUCAUAAUGUAUGACGUCACUAUUGUUAGAAUUUUCAAUUUAAUGUAUUGUACCGACUGCUAGGAAGGAAAAAUAUAUGUUGACAAAACAUGCGACUACUAAUCUACUAUGAAGUCAAUAUUAAAAGCGGGGCAGAAGUCAAACAUCCGUCGUACACGCGUUUUUUUAUAAUUAAGGUUGUUGGAAUCUUUGAAAAAGAACGAAUUUGAUUGGUUGAAAGAGAUUAUAUAUAUAAAAAAAAGGAAUAAAACACGUUGGUAUCCUUGUUUCUUCUAAACAACUUUUCCUCAGUAUUGUAUUAAUCAUCAGCAAUGCAACUUCCCCUUACUGCUCUUUCCCGUACAUCAUUUUCAUCAUCAUGCCAAAGAAAGCGUUCCUUUUUUUCAUGGGUUUCUAAUAACGGUGUUUCUCGUGUCCAUUUCGUUCUUUAUGGCAAGUAAUCCACCACUCCAAAACCUCCUAUCCCAUCAAAAACUUAAAAGUCUUCAAGAAACACAAGAUUCAAGGAGACGAAGGAGAAAUAAACGGUUCAUCAUUCAAUUAGAACGUAGUAGAGUUAUUUGUGUCGUGUAACAUCCCUUUAAAUGUUCUGGAUCAUCCCAAUUUAUCCUUCAAUUUAUCAUUUAAUUGUCGACACAUUUCGUGCCAAAGUGAUCUAUUCAUCCUUUAUGGUCAUUGUUCACUAAGAAGUUACUUUCUGUAUGAUGGGUUUGAUGUUCUCUAACUAACAAUAUAUUUUGUCUUGAAUAAAUUUACAGCAUAUUA
rnacentral:lncRNA from 1 species